UUCCUCAUACAGCCUAUAAUGGCUGAAAAUUUCCUCUGCUUCCUAAUUGCUACAGUCAUGGCUGGAAAUUUUCAGUCAUUAUGCACGAUAUUCGGCAGCCGGAACGGUCGCGUGAUCGCUGGACUUUCCUCUUUAUUCAGUGGCGGUCGGCCGAUGCUUUUCUUUCAUGUUUUCUGCUUCAUAUAUAUGCAUAUAUAUACAUCCUUAAUAUACAUAUAUAUAUAUACAUAUAAUUCUAAAC
rnacentral:lncRNA from 1 species